UCCAGACUCCUACGGGAGGCAGCAGUGGGGAAUAUUGGGCAAUGGGCGCAAGCCUGACCCAGCAACGCCGCGUGAAGGAAGAAGGCUUUCGGGUUGUAAACUUCUUUUAAGAGGGAAGAGUAGAAGACGGUACCUCUUGAAUAAGCCACGGCUAACUACGUGCCAGCAGCCGCGGUAAUACGUAGGGGGCAAGCGUUAUCCGGAUUCACUGGGCGUAAAGGGAGCGCAGGCGGCACGGCAAGUCUGGUGUGAAAGCCCGGGGCCCAACCCCGGGACUGCAUUGGAAACUGCCGGGCUGGAGUACUGGAGAGGCAGACGGAAUUCCUAGUGUAGCGGUGAAAUGCGUAGAUAUUAGGAGGAACACCAGUGGCGAAGGCGGUCUGCUGGACAGCAACUGACGCUGAGGCGCGAAAGCGUGGGGAGCAAACAGGAUUAGAUACCCCCGUAUAC
rnacentral:rRNA from 1 species